rnacentral:misc_RNA from 1 species
AACAUCGCGCACCUGCGGGAACCUGCGGAGGGAUCAUUACAAAGUCCUGGCCAGUCAAGCCGAAAUGACCGCUGUAAGCGUGCCGGCGGGCGGGCUCGUGCCCGCCGGUGUUGACAGUUUACCCUUUGUGAAAGCCCCUUGUUGCUUCGGCAGCCCCUCCCGGCCCGGGGGGAUCAGUCUGCCGGUGGUAGCUCUUUGGAAACCCUUUAGUUCUGAAAGGAAGCACUGAAUAACGUCUGA